rnacentral:rRNA from 1 species
UAGAGUUUGAUCCUGGCUCAGAACGAACGCUGGCGGCAUGCCUAACACAUGCAAGUCGAACGAGGCCUUCGGGUCUAGUGGCGCACGGGUGCGUAACGCGUGGGAAUCUACCCUUCGGUUCGGAAUAACUCAGGGAAACUUGUGCUAAUACCGGAUGAUGACGUAAGUCCAAAGAUUUAUCGCCGAGGGAUGAGCCCGCGUAGGAUUAGGUAGUUGGUGGGGUAAAAGCUCACCAAGCCGACGAUCCUUACUGGUCUGAAGGAUGAUCGCCACACUGGACUGAACGCGGGGGGGACUCCUACGGAGGCCUGG